GGGACUUUUGGGGGCAGAUGUGU
rnacentral:miRNA from 1 species